rnacentral:lncRNA from 1 species
CUUUGAGAUCGAUUAAAAAUUUUCACUAAGAUAUCUGCCUCCUUGAUCUCAUCGAAGAACCUUAAGAAUUUUCUAGUUUGUUUCUUUAUCUCAUAUCUAAAUUAUUUGAAUUUUUCAAAACUUUAGAAUUGUAUCUCACACAUGUACCCAUACUUUGAAAAGUCAUCGAUAAAAAAGAAUGAAGUAAAGGUAACCAUCUCCGGCUUGCACAUCAAAUGGGCUAUACAAAUCAGGAUAUACC